rnacentral:rRNA from 1 species
GAUGAACGCUGGCGGCGUGCCUAAUACAUGCAAGUCGAGCGAACAGACGAGGCUCUUGCUUCUUUGACGUUGCCGGCGGACGGGUAAGUAACACGUGGCUAACUUACCUAUAAGACUGGCGUAACUUCGCGAACCCGAAGAUCGCACCGGAUCAUAUUUCGAACCUCAGGGUUCUUUAGUCAAAGAUCUCUUUGCUAUCCCUUAUACAUGUACCUUAGCCGUAUUAGCUAGUUGGUACGGUAACGGCUUACCAAGGCAACGAUACGUAGCCGACCUGAGAGGAUGAUCAGCCACACUGGAACUGAGACACGGUCCAGACUCCUACGGGAGGCAGCAGUGGGGAAUAUUCGGCAAUGGGCGAAAGCCUGACGGAGCCACGCCGCGUGUGUGAUGAAGGUCUUCGGAUCGUAAAACACUGUUAGUAGGGAAGAACAACAGUAUAUUAAACUGUGCCCGUCUUGACGUUACCAAAAGAAAAAGCCACGGCUAACUACGUG